CGGAGCAUGCGGAUUAAUUCGAUGCAACGCGAAGAACCUUACCAGGGCUUGACAUCCCGGGAACCUGCCUGAAAGGUGGGGUGCCCGCAAGGGAGCCCGGAGACAGGUGGUGCAUGGCUGUCGUCAGCUCGUGUCGUGAGAUGUUUGGAUUAAGUUCCGCAACGAGCGCAACCCUCGUUGCCUGUCGCCAGCACGUGAUGGUGGGCACUCAGGCGAGACUGCCGCAGCAAUGUGGAGGAAGGUGGGGAUGACGUCAAGUCAGCAUGCCCCGUACGCCCUGGGCUACACACAUACUACAAUGCGAGGAGCAAACAGUUGCGAACCCGCGAGGGGGAGCUAAUCUGAGAAGGCCUCGCUCAGUGCAGAUUGCAGGCUGCAACUCGCCUGCAUGAAGGCGGAAUCGCUAGUAACCGUCGGUCAGCAUUACGACGGUGAAUACGUUCCCGGGCCUU
rnacentral:rRNA from 1 species